UGCUGGGCAGACUGGUCACAGAGAAAAGAGGAGAGUAACAGGCUGCUGAAUAAGCUUCCAAAAUGAUGCCCACACUAGUUAUCCUAUUGAAAGAGGGAACUGAUAGCUCCCAAGGCAUCUCCCAGCUUGUGAAUAACCUCAGUGCCUGCCAAGUGAUUGCUAAGGCUGUAAGAACCACUCUGGGUGCCCAUGGCAUGGACGAGCUUAUUGUGGGUGGCAGAGGCAAAGCAACAAUUUCUAAUGAAGUGGCCAUAAUUCUGAAACUUCUUCAUGUUGUCCAUCCUGCAGCAAAGACUUUAGUGGACAUUACCAAAUCCCAAGACACUGAGGUCAGUGAUGGCACCACCUCACUGACGUUGCUGGCUGCAGAGUUUCUGAAGCAGGUGAAACUGUAGGUGAAGGAUGGUUUACACCCUUAGCUCACAUUCGAGCUUUCUGCACAGCCACCCAGUUGGCAGUUAACAAGAUCAGAGAGAUUUGCUGUGACUGUGAAGGAGGGAGAUAAAGUGGAGCAGAGGAAGCUUCUGGAGUAGUGUGCUAGGACCGCUCUGAGCUCCACGCUGAUCUCGCAGCAGAAAUUUUCUUUGCUAAGAUGGUGGUGGAGGCAGUAAUGAUGCUCAGUGAUUUGCUGCAGCUUAAAAUGAUUGGAAUCAAGAAGGUACAGGGUGGAGCCCUCGAGGAUUCUCAGUUGGUAGCUGGUGUUGCAUUCAAGAAUACUUUCUCUUAUGCUGGGUUUGAAAUGCAACCCCCUCAAAAAUACUACGACCCCAAGAUUAUUGCCCUUUUGAAUACUGAGCUCCAGUGGAAAGCUGAGAAAGAUAAUACUGAGAUAAGAGUCCACACAGUUGAGGAUUAUCAGAUUGUUGAUGCCGAGUAGAACAUUCUCUAUGACAAGUUAGAGAGGAUCCAUCAUUCUGGAGCCAAAGUUGUCUUGUCCAAACUCCCCACUGGGGACGUGGCCACCCAGUACUUUGCUGACAGGGACAUGUUCUGUGCUGGCCGAGUACCUGAGGAUAAUCUGAAGAGGAUGGUGAUGGCCUGUGAAGUCUCAAUCCAGACCAGUGCGAAUGCUUUCUCAGCAGAUGUGUUGGGUCGAUGCUAGGUGUUUGAAGAGACCCAGAUUUAAAGGUGAGAGGUACCAUUUUUUUAUUGGCUUCCCCAAGGCCAAGACAUGCACCUUCCUCUUCUGUGGCGGUGCCAAGCAGUUUAUGGAGGAGACAGAGCGGUCCCUGCAUGAUGCCAUCAGGAAUGAGUCAGUGGUGGCUGGUGGCGGCGUCAUUGAGAGGGAGCUCUUUAAGUACCUUCGGGAUUCUCCAAGGGCUGUUCCAGGAAAACAGCAGCUGUUGAUUGGGGCGUAUGCAAAGGCCUUGGAGAUUACCCCACACCAGCUGUGCAAUAAGGCUGGCUUUGAUGCCACAAAGAUUCUUAACAAGCUGCAGGCUCAGCAUGCCUGGGGGCACGUGAUAUGAGGUGGACAUCAAAAUGGACAUGAAAAACGAGGACAUUGCUGACAACUUUGAGGCCUUCUCAAAGCUGGGAGCCAGCUAUGAUAUGGAUCAAUGCCCUGGCAGUAUUCUUUCUGUUUUGGCUCAGUUCACUUUUCAGCCUUUCCGACUGCUCUCCAUGUGGCAUCCAUGACUGGAAGAUUUGCUUUCCCUGA